rnacentral:rRNA from 1 species
GGAGGAAUAUUGGGCAAUGGGGGCAACCCUGACCCAGCAACGCCGCGUGAAGGAAGAAGGCCUUCGGGUUGUAAACUUCUGUGACAGGGGAAGAAAGAAAUGACGGUACCCUGAGAGGAAGCCACGGCAAACUACGUGCCAGCAGCCGCGGUAAUACGUAGGUGGCGAGCGUUGUCCGGAAUCACUGGGCGUAAAGGGCGCGUAGGCGGUUUAUCAAGUCGCAUGUGAAAUACCAGGGCUCAACUCUGGGGGGUCAUGCGAAACUGAUGGACCUAAGUGCAGUAGAGGAAAGCGGAAUUCCUGGUGUAGCGGUAAAAUGCGUAGAGAUCAGGAGGAACACCGGUGGCGAAGGCGGCUUUCUGGGCUGUAACUGACGCUGAGGCGCGAAAGCGUGGGGAGCAAACA